rnacentral:rRNA from 1 species
CUUGUACACACCGCCCGUCACACCAUGGAAGCGGGUUCUGCCAGAAGUAGUUAGCCUAACCGCAAGGAGGGCGAUUACCACGGCAGGGUUCGUGACUGGGGUG